rnacentral:lncRNA from 1 species
GUGAUGUGAGUGCUAAAUACAGCAGAGGUAUACGGAAGAGUUUAAAACUCUGAAUGAGUCCGAGUCUAUGGCAAGGUGCUGUGCUGCGAGCACCCUUGGAGGACUCACCUAUGUGAGUGUGACUGUGUGGCCGCAGUCUAUGGGGAUAAGGGUUUAACCCCUAGAGCACUCAUGAAACUGAGAUAUUGGUGCAUAAGGCCAGAAAAAGCACCACCUAUGAUGAACCCAGUAUUUGCAUUUGUCAUGGGUGAAGUAUAUAGAAAUAUGAACCAAAGGAUUUGGUUCAAAGCUUUUUAGCUAUCACUAUACCUUUCAGAUGAAAAUAUACUUUCACUAGGUAAAGGUUCAAAGCCGCAAGCUACCUUUAUUGAAGUCGUGACAUAAACAAGCCCGGUUUGACUAUUUUCUGAUUUUAUAAAGUUUUGAAAACAUUUU